rnacentral:rRNA from 1 species
GACAGAGGUGGCAAGCGUUGCUCGGAUUCACUGGGCUUAAAGGGCGCGUAGGCGGCUUUGUAAGUCCGAGGUGGAAUUCCACAGCUUAACUGUGGAACUGCCUUGGAAACUGCAAGGCUUGAGUCAGGUAGAGGGAGGCGGAAUUCCCGGUGUAGCGGUGAAAUGCGUAGAUAUCGGGAGGAAGGCCGGUGGCGAAGGCGGCCUCCUGGGCCUGCACUGACACUGAGGCUCGAAAGCGUGGGUAGCAAACAGG